AGAAAAAGAGGGAGGAAGAGAGAAAAAGAAGAGAGGGAGAGAAAAAAGAUAGAGAGGAAGAAAGGGAGAGAGAAAUAUAGAGUGGAAGAGAAAGGAGGAGACAGAGACAGAGGGAGAAAGAGAGAGAAGGAAAAAAGAGAGAAAAAUAUAGAGUGGAAGAGAGAGAAAGAGAAGAAGAAGAGAGAGGGAGAGCCAGAGAGAGAAAAAGAAAAGAAGAGAGAAAGGGAGGAAGACAGAGACAGAGGGAGGAAGAGAGAGAAGGAAAAAAGAGAGAAAAAUAUAGAGUGGAAGAAGAGAGAGAGAAGAAGAAGAGAGAGGGAGAGCCAGAGAGAGAAAAAGAAAAGAAGAGAGAAAGGGAGAAAGGGGAAGAGAAAGGAAUCGAGAAAAAAGAAGGUAGAGAGGAAGAGAGAGAAAAAGAACAGGAGAGAGAGACAAGGGAAGAGAGAGAAAAAAGUGGAAGGGAAGAGAAAAAUAUGAAGUGGGAGAGAGAGAAGGAGAGAGAGAAAAAAGAGAGAAUAGAGAGAGGAAAAAGGAGAGAGAGAAAAAGAACAGGAGAGAGGGAAAGAUAGAGAGAAAAAGAAAGAGAGAUAGGAAAAGACAGAGGGGAAGGAAGAGAAAUAGAGAGAAAAUGUAAGAGAAAUGAGAGGAAGA